CAGAGUAAUGGAAAUGCCACGUCAACCAUUUCCAGUAAAAAUGACAUAAGCUAGAUCGGUUAUGUCGGGGGUUGUGUCGCGGGUUGUGUAGCUCUCGGCCUGAAUAUCUGAUGAUCGACACAACCUGUGACAUAAGCUAACUCGGUUGUGCUGCAGGUUGUAUCGCUCUCGGCCAUUUUUACUCAACUUCAAAAAUUUUUGCAAUUCAACUCUAAUAUCCUUUAAAUGGCUACUUUGAUCAAAUAUACCAAAUUUCUCCAAAUUUAGCCUACAAAACAAAUAAAUUCCAAA
rnacentral:misc_RNA from 1 species